GGGAAUGUGACUUAGUGGUAGAGUGCUUGCCUGUCACACAUGAGGCCUUGGGUUCAAUUCCUAGCACCACCA
rnacentral:tRNA from 1 species